GAUGAACGCUGGCGGCGUGCCUAAUACAUGCAAGUCGAGCGAACAGACGAGGAGCUUGCUCCUCUGACGUUAGCGGCGGACGGGUGAGUAACACGUGGAUAACCUACCUAUAAGACUGGGAUAACUUCGGGAAACCGGAGCUAAUACCGGAUAAUAUAUUGAACCGCAUGGUUCAAUAGUGAAAGACGGUUUUGCUGUCACUUAUAGAAGGAUCCGCGCCGCAUUAGCUAGUUGGUAAGGUAACGGCUUACCAAGGCGACGAUGCGUAGCCGACCUGAGAGGGUGAUCGGCCACACUGGAACUGAGACACGGUCCAGACUCCUACGGGAGGCAGCAGUAGGGAAUCUUCCGCAAUGGGCGAAAGCCUGACGGAGCAACGCCGCGUGAGUGAUGAAGGUCUUCGGAUCGUAAAACUCUGUUAUUAGGGAAGAACAAAUGUGUAAGUAACUAUGCACGUCUUGACGGUACCUAAUCAGAAAGCCACGGCUAACUACGUG
rnacentral:rRNA from 1 species